UGAUCGAGAAAGAUAACCAAUAAUUUGUUUUCACCAGCGAUAGACAAAACAAAGUCGACCCAAACGAAUGUAACGGUAUACCAAACUCCGUAUUGUGUGAGAGAUGAAAAAUAGUCAACAAUGGAAUGCACAUCCAUUAUCAAUUAGACCUACAACUUUAAUGUUAUAUGACAAAAAACAAAAAUUGAAUGUGUUGUUAUAAUUGUAGUAGUUGAAGAUAUUGAUUUGAAAAUUUAUAACUUAUACGAAUUCAAAAUAAGGUUAACAUAUUAUUUUAUUAUAAAAACAUAAUUUAAUCCCUUUAAGAAUAUUAUAUUUAUUGUGCCUUUGGGAUGCUAUACAUAAUUCAAAUUAAGGUCAAUUUAUUAUUGGGUAAGUUGAAAGUCGGGAGUGGUACGGUAAAAAUCAUUGUUAUUGGUCAAUUGGUGAAAGUUAAGAUUAUUUAAAUCCAAUAUCCCUAUAAUGUAUAUCAAAAUUCUCAGUCAAUGUCACAUGUUUGUGUAAUUUUAUUUUAUAAGUAGGCCUUCAAAAUUAUAGGAUAUUAUUAAUAGGUCUCUAUAACCUUACUAAAUUCUAAUAUAUUUGAUUUUACCCAACUCGUUUUGUUGGACUCGGUUUUACCCGACAUGUACUUAACCCCGGUUUUACCCGACAUGUACUUUACUAAAUUCUAAUAUAUUUGAUUUUACCCAACUCGUUUUGUUGGCACAUAAAAAAUGGAAAUAGAAAUAAUAAUAAUUGGGCUCAUAAUCUCUAACCUAACAAAAUGAGUUUGAUUUACACUUGGCCCAACCCAUUUAUUCAACCUAAAUAUAUAAGUGAGUGUGUUAUAAUAAAAACCCUAAAACCAUAGAGACACAUUCAGCAGCCGACAUCAUCUUUCAGCCCUCUGGUUUCUCUGUCCGAUCAUCGGCGACCGGUACCGGUUACGGCCGGCUACCGGCGUCCCGUGCUUGCUCGCAUGUCGCCACACAACCCCAAGCUCCGUCUUCAUCUUAACUCGCCGCACAUACGCUGCCCUGUCCAGAGAGAGAGAGAGAGAGAGAGAGAUCGGAGAACGGGAGAGAUCGGAGAUCGGAGCACAUACGCGGCGACUUUAAUUCCUUCCGACAAGUUCACCGGUAAAACAUGGUGGUGUUCUUGAUGAAAUAAUCCAAUCAUUGCAACAUCAAGUUGAGGUUUAAUUUGGCCGGUCUGACAUCAAAGGUCAAGGGUUUGAAUGUUCAUGUCUUCUCUCAACAUAAACUUUGUGAGUAUUCUUUUUCAGUUUUAUAUCAUGUUUUGCACCUGUAGGUUUAGUGUAAUUUCCCAAUUGCCCUUUAUAUAUUAUCCUUACAUGAAUAUAGGCAACAACACCUGAGUACAAGGCGUACCGAGAAAGUCAUGAGUAAUAGUGCCACAUUUGUAGAGAUGAAGACUCGAGAUCUUUUGGACAAUUUGGUCCUUUGAAGGGCAGUUACUCGCAGAGAAUAGCUACAUAGUGCGAGAGGGAGAUCCGGUAGAUGAGAUGCUGUUUUUAAUGCGCGGAGACUUGCUAACUGUGACUACAAAUGGUGGAAGAAGGGGCUUCUUUAACUCUAGUAACCUCAAGGCAGGUGACUUUUGUGGAGAUGAGCUACUCACAUGGGCUUUGGAUCCAAACCUGUCUUCGACUCUCCCCCUCUCAACGACAACUGUGAGAGUGAUUACAGAUGUCGAAGCGUUUUCACUUAAAGCUAAUGACCUCAAGAUUGUAGCCUACCAGUUCAGGAGACUACACAGCAAGCGCUUCCAGCAUACGUUUCGGUACUACUCGCAACAUUGGAGGACAUGGGGAGCUUGUUUUAUACAGGCUGCUUGGCGUAGACAUCGUGGGAGGCAGAAGUCCAGGAUGCAGUAGCACACACUGCCACCGGUACCUCCCCAUGUCUUGGUGCAGCCAUCUAUGCCUCCAGGUUUGCUGCCAAUAUAUUACACAACUUGAGGAGGACCAACCAUUCACUUACUCCUAAAUUAUUGCCACUGCCACUCAAGCCAGUGGAUCCCGAUUUUAGCAGGUCCAUUAUGAAACAACGUUUUCUGCUGCUCAUCAUCCAGAAUGGCAGGUGCAUUAUAUAGCACAAGAUCAUGGGCCUAAAUUUCUGGAGGAAACUUGCAAGAGGAGUGGAGAUCAUGGGCCUAAAUUUCUGGAACAAAACCACCUGCAGAAAACUGCAAAUAACCUCCAUUAGAGUGGUUAUUUUUGGGAGUUUAAAGGGCUGAGAUUUAAUCUCAGCAUGAUCCGACGGUCAAGAUGGAUUUCAAAGUUAACUCCCACUUAAUGGGUUCCAUAUAUAUAUAUAAUUGAA